GAAUGCCGGGAACCCGAGAGCGGCCGGCGCGGACGCCGAGGCAACACUACUUGGGGCACCCGGUACUCGCCGUUAGCUCCCGGCCUCCUUUGCUCUUGCGCUUUCAGGGGCUCAGGCACUGCUCCGGGAGCGCGGAAUGUUGAGGAAGACGGCAGAACUUCAGUAGGGAGACCGGUCUGGGAAACGUUUUCAGGACACGCGGUGGGGAAAGCAACUAGCCUCCGGCGAGGCAGGGCGGGGUGGCCUUACCUGCAGAACCACCGGCCACGAUCUGCCGAGAAGCCUCGCGCACUAAGCCGACUUCAGACUUGGCGGACAUCUUCGCCGGGGGUGGACGAGGGAGUGGGCUGAGAUGCGUGGGCGAGCUCGCCGCCUGCACAGCCUACGAAUCUACAGAGCCCGGGCUGGGCUGGUCCUCAGGCGGGUUGGCUCCCUGUGGGGCAGCAAUCCGGCGACUGCUGGAAAGCCAGGGUUCGAGGCGCAGAUUCGUCGCGCGAUCUCCGGCGAGUCGGAACCUGUCUGCAGUGCUUUUGCAGAGGCGCCCUCGGCUUCGAAAACGUCUCUGGAAAUAAGACUUGCGGAUGGGGUUGGGUUGGCUCUUCGCAACGGCUCAGGCUUUGUCUCCUAGAUUGGCGCCCACGCCCUUCUGUAUCAGGAGCCUCCGGCAGUUUGUGAAACUGGACGCGCUGCCUCUGAUAACUCAAGUGAAAUGACCCAGGCCUGGAGCGCCAAGUGCAAAGUUGGGACGACCGUUGCACCUUCUGGCAUGCCAGAGCACAGUGAGGUUCAAAAGAAGGGACAAGUGAAUAAAUUCCUCAGUUAGUUAUCCU